AGACAAUGGUGCAUCUGAUCAGCACACCGCGUGGAGGAUGACUGCCUGUGGGUUGUAAACUCCUUUUCCUAAGGACGAAGAUCUGACGCUACUUAGGGAAUAAGUAUCGGCUAACCCUGUGCCAGCAGCCGCGGUAAGACAGGGGAUGCAAGCGUUAUUCAGAAUUAUUGGGCGUAAAGCGUCUACAGGUGGAUUUCUAAGUUUUUUGUUAAAUAUUGAAGCUUAACUUCAACAAUGCAAAAAAAACUAUUUAUCUAAAGUAUGGUAAAGGUAAAGGGAAUUUCCAGUGGAGCGGUGAAAUGCGUAGAGAUUGGAAGGAACACCAAAAGCGAAGGCACUUUACUGGGCCAUUACUGACACUUAUUGACAAAAGCUAGGGGAGCAAACGAAAUUAAAUACCUCGGUAGUCCUAGCUGUAAACGAUGGAUACUAAAUGUUGAUAAAGUAAUUAGAAAUAAUGAAAAUGCAGUGUCGAAGCUAACGCGUUAAGUAUCCCGCCUGGGAAGUAUGCUCGCAAGAGUGAAACUCAAAUGAAAUU
rnacentral:rRNA from 1 species